CUAAACAACCAUUAGAUAACCCAACCCCACUAGGCAUUCCCCAUCCCCAUCAGAUAACCCUAGCGCAGCCAAAGUCUCAAAGAAACCCCAUUACUCCAGCCCCUCCCAGCAGCGCCUCCCAGCUCCGCCGAACCAGCGCCGGACCAUCCCCUCCCAGCAGCGCUGAACCAGCCCCUCCCAGCGCCGAACACCAGACAUGGAGCCUCCAAGUCAGGGAAGGGAGCUGGAGAUUGUAGUUCUUGUGUAGGUGUCAUGCUGGAACUUGCUACUGCUGCUGCCUACCUUCUUCUUCUCUGCUUCCUCAUCCAUCUCUGUCUUCCAACACUGCAAGAGUCGUCGCCGCCGGCAUCGUUGCUCUGUUUUCUAUCUCUCUUCCUGUGCUGCUAAUCGGUUCAACUCCUUCAACUCCUGCGUCUUCGCCCGCGUCGCUGCCACCAGCAUCUCUGUCACUCGCGUCUCUAUUCGCUUCUUGUUGCUGCCCUUUCUCGUCCCUUCUAUUUUGAUAAAAGAACUACAGUGACAUGUUUUGCACCUAACAACCAACGUAGGAAGUGUUAAAAUUGUGAAGGGUACCUAUGCUUUAAGAAUAGGAGACAAAUGCAAUGCUG